rnacentral:tRNA from 1 species
AAUUCCUUGGUGUAAAAACACAUGAGAUUUUCGUUCUCAAGAUUAAAGAAUUA